AGCAGCCGCGGUAAUUCCAGCUCCAAUAGCGUAUAUUAAAGUUGUUGCAGUUAAAAAGCUCGUAGUUGAAUUUCGGGAUUGACGUGAUGGUCGUGCCUUACGGGGUAUGAACUGUUGCUGUUGAUUUCUCACCUUCUGGAGAAACUUGAUGUCCUUAAUUGGGUGUCUUGCGGAUCCAGGACCUUUACCUUGAAAAAAUUAGAGUGUUUAAAGCAGGCAUUUUUGCUCGAAUACAUUAGCAUGGAAUAAUAGAAUAGGACGGCAUGGUUCUAUUUUGUUGGUUUCUAGGAUCACCGUAAUGAUUAAUAGGGAUAGUUGGGGGCAUUAGUAUUCAAUUGUCAGAGGUGAAAUUCUUGGAUUUAUUGAAGACUAACUACUGCGAAAGCAUUUGCCAAGGAUGUUUUCAUUAAUCAAGAACGAAAGUUAGGGGAUCGAAGACGAUCAGAUACCGUCGUAGUCUUAACCAUAAACUAUGCCGACUAGGGAUCGGAUGAUGUUAAUUUUUUUAAUGACUCAUUCG
rnacentral:misc_RNA from 1 species